rnacentral:rRNA from 1 species
UACGUAGGGACCAAGCGUUGUUCGGAUUUACUGGGCGUAAAGGGCGCGUAGGCGGCGCGGUAAGUCACUUGUGAAAUCUCUGAGCUCAACUCAGAACGGCCAAGUGAUACUGCAGUGCUAGAGUGUGGAAGGGGCAAUCGGAAUUCUUGGUGUAGCGGUGAAAUGCGUAGAUAUCAAGAGGAACACCUGAGGUGAAGACGGGUUGCUGGGCCAACACGUGACGCUGAUGCGCGAAAGCCAGGGGAGCAAACGGG